GAGCGAGCGGGGUGAGCUGCGGAACCUGGUGGCAUCCACCGCAGCGCCGAGAGAAAGGGCGCGGGAGGGACCGUGCCCCCGUCCGUGAGGAGCGCGUGUGCCUGCCGGGACAACCGAGUCAAUCUGUCCCCGCGCAUUUCUUGGGAGGGUUUGGGCAGCGCCGGUGUCAGGGCAGGAACAGCGUGUGAUGAAAGGGAGUUUAGGUUAACCUCGCUUCAAGCCCGCGCAACCGCCGUGUUCCCGCGUUGGGAGCGCGGCCGGGGAGGCGGAGGGACUGUGCCGGGCUGGCGAGGGAGCGCUGCCGCCUCAGCGCUGCUGGCGGCGGGGGGAGCGCCGCGCCCAGGCCCCGGCUGCUGGGGGUGGGUCAGCAGAGCGGGAUGAGGCGUGAGGCGCGUCUGACAAAAGACGGCAGACUCACGUCGGGACCCUCUGCCGCUUGAAAAUGAGUCCGAAACGAGGCGGGCUGCGGUUUGUCCACCUCCUCCCCUCAGGGCGCUCCUCUGACGGCCGCCAGCCCGGGGCAGCGCUUGCACCGCCGCGCCCCUCACAGCCUCGCGCCCCUGAGCGCAGCCAGCGCUCGGCGCUCGCCGUUACAGAGCCAACACCGCCGUCUGGCGGCGCGGAGCGGCCGGGCCCGAACAGCCGAUCCCCCGGGCGUGAGGCGAGGCGGAGCACUCCGUGAAAAAGGCCAGAAAAUAAUUAACCUGAAAAAAAGAUAUAAAAUAUACAUAUUGAAGAAACAUUUAUCUUAAAAAAUACUGGAAAGAACAGACUGGCAAGAGAAUAGAGGACUCGACUCAACCCCAGCCUGCAUUGUACAAGAGACAGAACAUGAUAUUAAGUUAUUGCAACAAAAGAAAGGGAGGAAGAACUAAUAAAAGCUUUUAGCUGCAUAUCCACAUACUGUCACACAGCCUGACCUAAGACGACUAAUUUAAAGACAACGGAAAAGGCUCAGCUCUUGCCACCGUGCAUUCAACCGACAGUUUCCUUCAACCCAACCUGGGCGCAGUGAUGGGUCACUGCAAGCAGGAGGUACAACAUCGUUGCUCAUGGCUCUGCUGGUUGACUUUGACCACAAUACAGCACAACUGCCCCACAGCUGCAGAAAAGACUGAAUGGAGCCCGGGUUAGGUACUCAUGUGAAGGAGGAAGGAAAACACUGGAAAAGACAACACUUCUUGAUACGUUUGAUAUCUUCAUAACGAUCCUGAACUGAUGCCAAUUGGGGCUGCAGCUACAGAGGCUCUUCAUUAACAGGAGAAAGGUAGAUGGUAGGUUGGUAAUACCAUUCCAUACAGUUCUAUACAGUAUAGUGUGGGAAAGGACAAAACAAAGUGAUUUUACUGCUACGUUCAACCAUUCAGAAUAGCGUUUCUAAGAAAUAGCAAUUGUGUUAUACUUCUCUUUCACUUCACAUGUACAAGUUUUGAGUAGCAGACAGUAGCUACAGAAGCAACAGAAAUUUGGAGGGAUAUAUGCAAGUAUUCCCCCAUAAAUGAGAAAACUGCUAAAACAGAAGCAGCUGUCUUACGUGAAUCUGAAAAACUGCAUGUAUGGAGUAAAUUACCAUGUGCACGAAAAAAGAAAUAAAAACAUUGUAAUGGGCAACAGUAAAAUGGCUUGCUUAUUUUACUGUAUUUGUGUGCUGUUCUACUUCAAAUCGCUAAAGUUAAUAAAGAGAAAAGCUUUUGGGACUACUGGAUCUAAAAUACAAUAAAUAAAAGUACAACAUGACUCUUUAAAAUUUCCCUAAGUAUGUGGAAUAGAUAAGCAACAUCCUAUCUUCAGUGAGAUUCUUCUUGACUUUCUUUUUUAUCUUUUAAUUUCGGAUCAAUACCUAAACAUAUAAUGACAUUUGAAGAAUCAAGUUGUAAAAGGUAGGAUUAGAACCCAGAGCCAUUUUCUCAGAUGACAGACAAAUUAAUUGGGAAAGAAAGAACCUGUUUACCUUACAAGGAGCCUUUAACAUCAUGGCAGCAUAGAGGUGUUAUUACAUUGUACUUAUAUCCAUAUAGUGCUACACUUCCAGAGCAGGCAAAGCCUAUUACUUUAUUUUAUUUUUUUCCCAUCUGUGUUUCAUUGCUUAUAGUCUUUUCUACUCAUUUAUUUCUGUCUGCAGACUUUUAUAUUCAGUUCAGUGAAACGUGUCAAAUAUAAUAUUAUGACAGCUGCAAAAACCUAAAAUUUAUCAAACUCAGCAUAAUCAUUAAAUUUUUGUUUGACUAAAGAAGACAUAGUAGGGAAAAAAUGAGAGGCGAAGCCAGCCAAGGCUGUCACACUAAGUUAAAGUAAAUGAGGAGUCUAACAAUUUUCUCUUCACUCACCUAACUGGAGGUCUAUUAAUAUUUCCAUGUAACACUUAUCUGUGGUGGUUUGUUGGAGGACUAUAUUUGUAUAAUAUAUAAAGGAAUCAGAUUUCGCAGCAGACCUAUUUAGUAUUUCCUAUUAAUAACCACAUUAUCAGAUUCACAAGGGAU